rnacentral:rRNA from 1 species
CUCCUACGGGAGGCAGCAGUGAGGAAUAUUGGUCAAUGGGCGUAAGCCUGAACCAGCCAAGUCGCGUGAGGGAUGAAGGUUCUAUGGAUCGUAAACCUCUUUUAUAAGGGAAUAAAGUGCGGGACGUGUCCUGUUUUGUAUGUACCUUAUGAAUAAGGAUCGGCUAACUCCGUGCCAGCAGCCGCGGUAAUACGGAGGAUCCGAGCGUUAUCCGGAUUUAUUGGGUUUAAAGGGUGCGUAGGCGGCCUUUUAAGUCAGCGGUGAAAGUCUGUGGCUCAACCAUAGAAUUGCCGUUGAAACUGGGGGGCUUGAGUAUGUUUGAGGCAGGCGGAAUGCGUGGUGUAGCGGUGAAAUGCUUAGAUAUCACGCAGAACCCCGAUUGCGAAGGCAGCCUGCCAAGCCAUGACUGACGCUGAUGCACGAAAGCGUGGGGAUCAAACAGGAUUAGAUACCCUGGUAGUCCACGCAGUAAACGAUGAUCACUAGCUGUUUGCGAUACAGUGUAAGCGGCACAGCGAAAGCGUUAAGUGAUCCACCUGGGGAGUACGCCGGCAACGGUGAAACUCAAAGGAAUUGACGGGGGCCCGCACAAGCGGAGGAACAUGUGGUUUAAUUCGAUGAUACGCGAGGAACCUUACCCGGGUUUGAACGCAUUUCGACAGCUCUGGAAACAGAGCCUCUAGCAAUAGCGAUUUGCGAGGUGCUGCAUGGUUGUCGUCAGCUCGUGCCGUGAGGUGUCGGCUUAAGUGCCAUAACGAGCGCAACCCUUGCCACUAGUUACUAACAGGUUAGGCUGAGGACUCUGGUGGGACUGCCAGCGUAAGCUGCGAGGAAGGCGGGGAUGACGUCAAAUCAGCACGGCCCUUACAUCCGGGGCGACACACGUGUUACAAUGGCGUGGACAAAGGGAUGCCACCUGGCGACAGGGAGCGAAUCCCCAAACCACGUCUCAGUUCGGAUCGGAGUCUGCAACCCGACUCCGUGAAGCUGGAUUCGCUAGUAAUCGCGCAUCAGCCAUGGCGCGGUGAAUACGUUCCCGGGCCUUGUACACACCGC